GGGAGUAGCCAAGUGGUAAAGCAAUGGACUUUGAUUCCAUGAUCGUAGGUUCGAUCCCUCAGUGCUCUCA
rnacentral:tRNA from 1 species